GCCUCCAUCCAUCAUCCCAGCCUCCUCCAUCAUCCUCCAUUGUGGAGUUUCUGUCCACAGGGGAGAAACUGUUCAGCCUGGGGCCCAUCUGUCUCCUGCUUCAGGCCCUGUGCUGAGGAAUCAGUGAUGAACAAACACUGAUACAUUCCCUACUCUGGAGGAGCUUACAUCCAUGCAGUAGAUAUGUGCAACUAUUAUAAAACUAAUUCCUGGAAAUGAAGCUACUUGCUGAAGAAAGUUUAUCUAAUACAUACUCCCACCUGUAAUAAAGGAGAAUGUGCACUUCCUCACGAUUGUACACCAGCUCAUUUAUAAACAAAGUGUGAUCUAAUAGCUGUUUUACAACAUUGAGAACCCAGAGUGCAAGGGCCUUUACAUACACAGCUGGAAUUGACAUUUAAUUUAUUCCUCACAACAACCACAUGAGGUUGGAAAGUCCAAGAUCAAGGUGCCAGCAGAUCCUGUGUCUGGUGUGCUCUUGCCUUUUGGUUUGGGAAGAAGGCCAUCUUCCCAUUGUAUCCUCACAUGGUGUAGAGAAGAGAGAGGAAGCAAACUCUCUCAUGUCUCUUUUAUAAGGGCUCUAAUCCCAGCAUGAGGGCUUCACCCUCACGACCUAAUUACCUCCCAAUGGCCCCAUCUCCAAAUACCAUCAUAUUGGGGAUUAAUAUUUCAACAUACAAAUUCUGGGGGAAUACAAACAUUCAGUCCAUAGCUCUAAUGAGCCACCCUGGUUGGCAACACAUUGCACAUAUUGUCACCCAUCUUUACAGGAGGAAUUAAACCUCCUGCAACUUCACUUGGAGAGAACUCUUGGAAGCUGUGCCUGGAUUCCUCCAGACUCCCCCACCUGCCCAUAUGCCUUAUCCCUCUUCUGACUUUCCUUUGCUGACUUUCCUUUGUAUCCUUUAUUGUAAUAAAC